ensembl:lncRNA
CCCCCCCACGGCCGGACGUUGCAGAUUGAUGAUGCCGCAGCAGUCAAUGGAUCGCUGUGAGGUUUCAGAGAACUACCACCAUCAUAGCCCGGGGGUCCAGGGAGCCAGCGGCGCCUGGUCAGUGGACUCCUUCUCUGGGUCGGUCUCCUCACCGUCAGCCACGUGGUCUCCAUCACCCUACUCGUCAUCACCAGGCCACACGCACUGCCUCUGCCAGAAAUAGUUUCAGCUCCAAAACCCACAGCAGACUCAUCUCUGGACAAUGACCCAACACACCUCCAGGCUAUGUAAGGACCACUUGACCAAGAAAGAGAGUGAUGGAAUGCUGC